UACGUAGGGUGCAAGCGUUAAUCGGAAUUACUGGGCGUAAAGCGUGCGCAGGGCGGUGAUGUAAGACAGAUGUGAAAUCCCCGGGCUCAACCUGGGAACUGCAUUUGUGACUGCAUCGCUGGAGUGCGGCAGAGGGGGAUGGAAUUCCGCGUGUAGCAGUGAAAUGCGUAGAUAUGCGGAGGAACACCGAUGGCGAAGGCAAUCCCCUGGGCCUGCACUGACGCUCAUGCACGAAAGCGUGGGGAGCAAACAGG
rnacentral:rRNA from 1 species